rnacentral:lncRNA from 1 species
UUCGCGGGACAUGACCGUAAUAUCGUAAGGCAACAAAGAGAGGGUUACCCUAGAGGUGCAAGUGUGGAAAUGAUUGGAUUCAGAUAUAUUAUCUUGAAUUAAUUUAUCUAAGUUCGAUUAUUUAUCUUUCCAUGCAAUCCUAUUAGCAUACAUCUCGACAGUUAUAUUCACAGUACGGAAAAAUUAAAGUGCGAAAAAUAAGACUACGAUAUUACAUGGCUUCG